UACAGAGGUCUCAAGCGUUGUUCGGAUUCAUUGGGCGUAAAGGGUGCGUAGGCGGCGCGGUAAGUCGGGUGUGAAAUCUCGGGGCUUAACUCCGAAACUGCAUUCGAUACUGCCGUGCUUGAGGACUGGAGAGGAGACUGGAAUUUACGGUGUAGCGGUGAAAUGCGUAGAUAUCGUAAGGAAGACCAGUGGCGAAGGCGGCGCGCUGGACCACUACUGACGCUGAGGAACGAAAGCUAGGGGAGCAAACAGG
rnacentral:rRNA from 1 species